AAUGGCGCCAUCGUUGGGUGGAACCUGUGUGGCAUUAGGUUGUCGCGCAGGGGAUGCUCAUCUUUUACUGUGAAAAAAUUAGAGUGUUCAAAGCAGGCUUACGCCGUUGAAUAUAUUAGCAUGGAAUAACACUAUACGAUCUUGGAUCUAUUUUGUUGGUUUGCGCUCCGAGAUAAUGAUUAACAGGGACAGUUGGGGGUAUUCGUAUUCCAUUGUCAGAGGUGAAAUUCUUGGAUUUCUGGAAGACGAACUACUGCGAAAGCAUUUACCAAGGAUGUUUUCAUUAAUCAAGAACGAAAGUUAGGGGAUCGAAGAUGAUUAGAUACCAUCGUAGUCUUAACCGUAAACUAUGCCGACAAGGGAUUGGUGGGG
rnacentral:rRNA from 1 species